rnacentral:hammerhead_ribozyme from 1 species
AAGCGAAACAAAGCGGCCUAGCCGCUUUGUCUGCAAGCCGUGGUGGCCUUGCACUGAUGAGCAGCCGAAA